GAUGAACGCUGGCGGCGUGCCUAAUACAUGCAAGUCGAGCGAACGGACGAGAAGCUUGCUUUUCUGAUGUUAGCGGCGGACGGGUGAGUAACACGUGGAUAACCUACCUAUAAGACUGGGAUAACUUCGGGAAACCGGAGCUAAUACCGGAUAAUAUUUUGAACCGCAUGGUUCAAAAUUGAAAGACGGUUUUGCUGUCCCUUAUGGAUGGAUCCGCGCGGCAUUAGCUAGUUGGUAAGGUAACGGCUUACCAAGGCAACGAUGCAUAGCCGACCUGAGAGGGUGAUCGGCCACACUGGAACUGAGACACGGUCCAGACUCCUACGGGAGGCAGCAGUAGGGAAUCUUCCGCAAUGGGCGAAAGCCUGACGGAGCAACGCCGCGUGAGUGAUGAAGGUCUUCGGAUCGUAAAACUCUGUUAUUAGGGAAGAACAAAUGUGUAAGUAACUGUGCACAUCUUGACGGUACCUAAUCAGAAAGCCACGGCUAACUACGUG
rnacentral:rRNA from 1 species